GUACCGCUCCAGUCGUUCAUGGUUUUAGUACUCUGGAAACAGAAUCUACUAAAACAAGGCAAAAUGCCGUGUUUAUCUCGUCAACUUGUUGGCGAGAUUUUUUU
rnacentral:misc_RNA from 1 species